AUUGAACGCUGGCGGCAGGCCUAACACAUGCAAGUCGAACGAGUGGCGGCCGGGUGAGUAAUGUAUGGGAAACUGCCCGAUGGAGGGGGAUAACUACUGGAAACGGUAGCUAAUACCGCCUACCCUCGGAUGUGCCCAGAUGGGAGUAGCUAGUAGGUGGGGUAACGGCUCACCUAGGCGACGAUCCCUAGCUGGUCUGAGAGGAUGACCAGCCACACUGGAACUGAGACACGGUCCAGACUCGUCCGUGAGGCAGCAGUGGGGAAUAGUGCACAAUGGGCGCAAGCCUGAUGCAGCCAUGCCGCGUGUAUGAAGAAGGCCUUAGGGUUGUAAAGUACUUUCAGCGAGGAGGCGUGACUCGCAGAAGAAGCACCGGCUAACUCCGUGCCAGCCGCCGCGGUAAUAC
rnacentral:rRNA from 1 species